rnacentral:rRNA from 1 species
GCGGAGGAAAAGAAACCAACAGGGAUUGCCUUAGUAACGGCGAGUGAAGCGGCAAUAGCUCAAAUUUGAAAGCUGGCCCCUUCGGGGUCCGCGUUGUAAUUUGUAGAGGAUGAUUCGGCGAGGGCUCCCGUCUAAGUCCCUUGGAACAGGGCGUCAUAGAGGGUGAGAAUCCCGUAUGUGAUGGGCUGCCUUAGCCAUGUGAAUCUCCUUCGACGAGUCGAGUUGUUUGGGAAUGCAGCUCUAAAUGGGAGGUAAAUUUCUUCUAAAGCUAAAUACCGGCCAGAGACCGAUAGCGCACAAGUAGAGUGAUCGAAAGAUGAAAAGCACUUUGGAAAGAGAGUUAAAAAGUACGUGAAAUUGUUGAAAGGGAAGCGCUUGCAGCCAGACUUGUCCGCAGUUGCUCAGCUUGUCUCCUGACAGGCGUACUCUUCUGCGGCCAGGCCAGCAUCAGUUCGGGCGGUCGGAUAAAGACCUGGGGAAUGUAGCUCCUCUCGGGGAGUGUUAUAGCCCUGGGUGCAAUGCGGCCAGCCUGGACUGAGGAUCUCGCUUCGGCUAGGAUGCUGGCGUAAUGGCUGUAAGCGGCCCGUCUUGAAACACGGACCAAGGAGUCUAACAUCUAUGCGAGUGUUUGGGUGUCAAACCCAUGCGCGUAAUGAAAGUGAACGGAGGUGGGAACCCUCACGGGUGCACCAUCGACCGAUCCUGAUGUCUUCGGAUGGAUUUGAGUAAGAGCAUAGCUGUUGGGACCCGAAAGAUGGUGAACUAUGCCUGAAUAGGGUGAAGCCAGAGGAAACUCUGGUGGAGGCUCGCAGCGGUUCUGACGUGCAAAUCGAUCGUCAAAUUUGGGUAUAGGGGCGAAAGACUAAUCGAACC